UGAAAGGCUCAGCUUCUUCCUGCCUAGGCUUGCUUACACCCAGGGGGGCCAUGUCAGACAGGAUUAGCUUUCUUUCUAGCGUGGCUCUCACUUGUUUAACCAGAGCUUUUGUCCUGAAAAUCUGGGGACUAGAGAUCCCCACCAGCUUCUCCAGCCCCCAACCCCGCCCGGGGCAGAAAAACAUCCUGCCUUCUGCUCAGAUCUGUAGGUGCGCCUGUUGUAUGCAGAAGCCAGAAGAAAAAGAUGUCGGAUCCUCUAGAGCUGAAGUUGCAGAUGGUUGUGAGCCACCCCGGAGAUAUUGGAUACAAUGCGACUACCGAUCUCUUCAGGUUCCUGCUGCCAGCCUCCCCCACCGUGAUGGACUAUACCCUAGCAUUCCAGUCAAAAUAAAGCCAACUUGCCCAA